UUGACUCUGGCAGUCGGAUUUCUGCUGGUAUUGCUGCUGCGAGGACGGCGGGCGGCCAGCGGAUAAGAAAGAAGAAAGACGUGGCAGCAAGCGGGAAUCAGGGAUAGUGUCGUCGGUUCGGUAAAGUUUCUGUUCUCUGGAUCCCACUACUUUGGAAAUUUUCUCAAACUCCAAAUACAGAAAGCCACCGACUUUAUUCCGGUAUCCUACACCCAUUCCCUACCCUAAUUACACUCCCACUCCCAGCCCUCAGCAUCGGAGUCAAGAGCAACAGGGACACUUCCGUUCUCCUUGUAGGAUUGGUGAAACCGUAAUGAAGAACACCCCCCAAACUCCCAUAAUCGGUGCGGAUUUCUAUGGGAAAGGCCUAUAUGGUUCGCAUCUUCUAGGCCUUGGUUCUGGACCUUGAGAAGGAGGCUGUGGAACUAGUGGUAGCGAUGCUUUUUAGGGUAAAUGUAUGUAGGUAUUGGGGGAAGAGGAGGGAUCAACAGAGAACGAAUGAAAGUGGUUUAAAGCUCUAUAUGCUGCUCAUAUAGAGUUCAACUUGUGAGGUACUCAUUUACAGGCUGUGUAAGGGUUUUGCAGUCUAAAAAUGUCUGAAAAAUAAACUUGAAUUAACCCUUGAUGCAAUCAGUAAAUUGAAAAUGCAGUUUGUAACCAGGCUUUGUAAUUUUACUGUCAAAGCAUUUUUUUUAGCCACCCACCUUUUAAGCAACUGUAUUACUUUUAGUUAGAGCUGAAAGGCCCUAACUAGCAUUUGUUGUUAAUGACCAGUAUGUGGAGUCUGAUUUAGUUUUCCAUAAAUGACUUUUUGGCUUGUAUUGGCAAAUCACAGUCCUAAAUGAUGAAUGUUGAAUGAUGCACUAUGUUUUUGUUUAAGUGAAAUUUCCUGAAAGUAAUUUCAGAGUUAAGGAGAAAUUGAUGUUGCUAUCAUGAAGUAUCAUAAGUACAUAUAUAUUUUUAAGCUGAAAGUAGAUACAGUUCUUGGAGAAGCAGAAAGAACAUGGACCUGGGAUUUGAAAGACCUGGCUUCUGGCUGCUACUGACCAACUAAGUCUAUGACUCUGGGAAAGUGGGCCUUAGUUCUUUUUUCUAUAACAUGAGGAGAUUGGACUAUUUGAAUUCAGAAUUCAGACAGUUGGAAGGGAUCUUAAAGCCCUCUAAGAAAGAGUUUGGGAAUGUUCUCCAUUGCUGUCACUUUUCCUCCAAAAAUAACCUGGCUUACAAGUCAUUGGUCCAGAGGGAAUUUGACUCCUUAUAGAAACUGGAGAGAAGGUAAUGUAAGUAGAGAGAAACAGCUGUGUUCCUGCUUGCGUAAUAAACCCACUACUAGAUUCUGGUACAAAUUUUGGAGACAUAACGAGAAUGAGUGUAUGUACCUUAAGUGUGCCAGUUUCCUCACUCUCUCCUAGCAGAAGAUGCAGCACUUUUAGUGGUCCUGGGAUUCUGGGAUGUGUUCCUAUUAAUUCUAAUACAGAUGAAGAAGAUGUGGUAGAAGGAAAGAUGGUGGCAGAAGGAGUGGAUAAAGAGGCAAAGUUGCCUGCUAAAAAGAAAAGAAAGAAGGGUUUGCGAAUUAAGGGGAAAAGGCGCCGAAAAAAAUUGAUCCUUGCCAAAAAGUUUAGUAAGGAUUUGGGAUCUGGGAGGCUUGUUGCAGGUGCUCCUGCUUUAUUAGCUUCCAGUGCCCCUGGGCAAGAUGAAGAAAGUCUUUUUGAAAGCAAUAUAGAAAAACAGAUCUAUCUACCUAGUACUAGAGCCAAGACCUCCAUUGUGUGGCACUUCUUUCAUGUUGACCCCCAGUACACCUGGCGGGCUAUUUGUAACCUCUGUGAAAAAAGUGUCAGCAGGGGUAAGCCAGGCAGCCAUCUUGGUACAUCUACUCUUCAAAGACAUUUGCAGGCAAGGCAUUCACCUCAUUGGACCAGGGCCAACAAGUUUGGAGUCACUAGUGGGGAGGAGGAUUUUACCUUGGAUGUACCUUUAUCUCCCUCUUCUCCUGGAAGCAAUGGAAGCUUUGAAUACAUCCCUACUGAUCCUUUAGAUAAUAAUAGAAUGGGUAAGAAAAGUGAUAAAUCAGCAUCUGAUGCCCUGAGGGCAGAAAGGGGGAGAUUUCUCAUCAAAAGUAACAUUGUCAAGCAUGCUUUAAUUCCUGGAACAAGAGCCAAGACAUCUGCAGUUUGGAAUUUUUUUUACACUGAUCCUCAGCACAUCUCACGAGCUGUGUGUAAUAUAUGUAAAAGGAGUGUGAGCCGGGGUAGACCAGGUUCCCACUUAGGAACUUCAACACUUCAAAGACACCUGCAGGCCACACAUCCCAUCCAUUGGGCUGUUGCCAACAAAGAUAAUGGUGCUGUUGGAAAUGGAGUGGAUGAGGUUGAGAGUGAGAGAAAUGAUCUCAUAAGUGAUCCUCUGCAGGGAGCAAAGUCUACAGGCAGCCAAGUUUUAAUAGCUGAAGAUCUUAGUGACUCUGAUUCUGAUGAACCUCCUGUGUUAGAGGUUGAAAGGAGAUCUGAGAGCCCCAUUCCUGUGGCAGAGCAAGACAAUCUGAUGCAUGCACAGGAGAGGAAAACAACAUACUGUGAAAAUUCUGUCUCAAGUCAAAUAAGUCAGGCAAUUAUUCGAAUGAUUGUGGAGGAUAUGCAUCCUUACAACUACUUCUCAACCCCAGCCUUUCAGAGAUUCAUGCAGAUUGUGGCCCCUGACUAUAAGAUGCCAUCAGAGACUUACUUUUUCACUAAGGCUAUACCUCAGUUAUAUGAUAGGGUCAGAGAAAAAAUUUUCAUAACUUUGGAGAAUGUUCAAAGCCAAAAGAUCCACCUGACUGUUGACAUAUGGACCCAUGAUCCAUCCACUGACUAUUUCAUUGUGACUGUACACUGGGUCUCUUUGGAAACUACACCUUCUCCCAAUGAUGGUAGGAUCUCCAAUUUUAGAAAGUGGGCAGUGCUUUGUGUAACAGGUUUGGCCAAAGACUGUUUGAUAACCAACAUUUUACAAGAAUUGAAUGACCAGAUUGGUCUCUGGCUUUCUCCUAAUUUCCUCAUCCCUUCCUUCAUUGUUUCUGACAAUUCCUCUAAUGUGGUACAUGCAAUCAAAGAUGGCGGUUUUACCCACGUGCCAUGCUUACUGCAUUGUUUAAAUGUUGUCAUUCAGGACUUUUUCUGUGAACACAAAAGCAUUGAGAAUAUGUUAGUGGCUGCUAGAAAAACCUGUCAUCAUUUUAGUCAUUCAAUAAAGGCCCGUCAGAUACUGCAAGAGUUUCAAAAUGAUCACCAACUUCCAUGGAAGAAUUUGAAGCAGGAUGAAACUGGCCAUUGGAUUUCUACCUUUUAUAUGUUAAAAUGGCUCUUAGAGCAUUGCUAUGCAGUUCACCAUAGUCUUGGCAGAGCCAGUGGUGUUGUGCUUACCUCCCUUCAGUGGACUCUAAUGACCCAUGUUUGUGAUAUUCUUAAGCCUUUUGAGGAGGCCACUCAGAAAGUGAGUGUGAAGACCACAGGAUUGAAUCAGGUGCUACCCCUAAUCCAUCAUCUAUUCCUUUCCCUACAGAAACUCAGAGAAGAUUUUCAAGUCAGAGGUAUUACUCAGGCCCUUAAUCUGGUGGACAGUUUAUCUCUGAAACUUGAAAGUGACACCCUACUAAGUGCCAUGCUCAAAUCCAAGCCAUGUGUCUUGGCUACUUUGCUAGAUCCUUGCUUUAAAAACAGUUUGGAAGAUUUUUUUCCUCAAGGUGCUGAUUUAGAAACCUACAAGCAUAUCCUUGCAGAAGAGGUUUGUAAUUUUAUGGAAUCUUCACCAGAGGUAUGCCAUAUUGCAACUUCAGAAGCUUCUGGUCCCUCAGCUGCAGUAGGAGCUGAUUCAUUUACCUCACCCAUAAAAGAAAUCACUUCCAGUUCAGGCUCCAUUGAUAGCUCAACUGCAGAUAGUAUUGCCGUUGGAAGCAAAAGCUUCAUGUUCCCUUCUGCCAUAGCAGUAGUGGAUGAGUACUUCAAAGAUAAGUAUUUAGAGAUCUCAGGAGGUGAUGACCCUUUGAUUUACUGGCAGAGAAAGAUGAACAUGUGGCCGGCUUUGACCCAAGUUGCCAUUCAAUAUCUAAGCUGUCCCAUGUGUAGUUGGCAAUCUGAAUGUAUCUAUACUACAAAUAGCCACUUUCAUCCAAAGCAGAUGAUGAGCCUGGACUUUGACAAUAUAGAACAGCUGAUGUUUCUGAAAAUGAACUUGAAAAAUAUUAACUAUGAUUAUUCUACAUUGGUUCUGAGCUGGGAUUCUGAGAACGAAGUUCAAAACGAAAAAGAAAUGUUACUUUAAUUUCUUUUUCCUUUCUCCAUUUAAAGUAGGCAACUUUUUGCUGUAUUACUGUAUCCUAAUUGUUAUAGUUGUUAUAUAUAGUCAUAAUAAUUCUUUAAAAACAAAUCUGGGGAAAACCUGAAAACACAAAAAGGACAAGAAAUUCCUCAGAGGCAAUAUAAUGUUGAUAAAAUGAAGAUUAACUACAGAUUUCACAGUAGUAGCUCAGUGUAGCUAGCACUUGAAAUUUUGUUUAUACCAAUUGAGAGAAAAGAUGCAUUUUUUUUAAAUAAAAAUAUAGUGCAGCAUUGAAAGGCCUUGAGCUAUUUCUGGCUGGUAGAUUGAGCUAGUAAUUGGUUUUAAGUUAAAAUUUCCCCCCAUAUGGGGAGUGUGAUUCCUCUGAAACUAAUGGAGUGAAAAUAAAGCAUACUAAGCUGUUAUUCCUUUUUUUUUUUUUUUUUUUAAUCCAUUUUUCUCUUUCUUUAAAAAAUCCUGAUGCAAACCCUUGGCAAAAACAAAAACCCACAAAAUUGUCCAGCCUCCUCAUACUGGUCAGCUUUAUAAUUUCAACUUACUGAGUGUGAUAGUUAUCCCUUAUAUUUAAGAUUGGAAUUGGGAAACAUUAUAAAACAAUUAGAAAAAAAAUUACUUUCAUUCUUUGAAUUUUUUUUUAACCUUUAUAAAAUAAUGUAAAAACAAUAAAAGAUUUUGUUGGUACAUUUGCAUAAUUUAUGGGUAAAUGGCAUAAAAAGAUUCAGUGGGAAUUGGAUUGAAAGCCCCAUGAGCAUACUUUGGACAAACCCAGUAUGCAUUUCCCAAAGAAUACCCUUAAUUUUAAUUGAUCUGAAAUGUCUUUUUAAAAUAUACUGAAUGAUCCAUAAUACUGUAUUUUUAACUGAGAUUGGUUUUGGCCACUGUAUUCUAAACUAAAAAUAAGCAGUCAAUAUUUUCAUGUAUUAGGAAUCUGCUUAGCUGGUAAAAUGAGGAAAUUGAUCUCAGUGAUCUUUAAGGUCCCUGGUUUCCACUCUGAAAGUAUGUUUCUGUGAUUGAGUGGAAAGCCAGAAAAUGACUACUUUUAGUAAAAGCCUAUUAGAAGUUUCAGACUGAAUAACUAAUGUAAGAUCCCAAUUUUUCCUUUUUUUCAUUUUAGAUUUGGGGAUAUUCCCUGCCCAAAAAAUUCCUGGAAAAUUGACUAGUAUUAAGUGUGAGUAAAAGGUGUCCACUUUUUUUUAAGUUUUGAUUUUAGUUUUGUCUUGGAUAGUAUUUGGCAAGAUUUAGCCUAGAAAUUAUGUAGUAUUUAUUACGUGAGAAUCAAAAUUGCUUUGUAACUGGGCUGAUUUCAAAAUUGAGAACUCAUUUCUGUGUAUCAAAAUGUUUUUUUUUUUGUUUUUUUGUUUUUUAUUCUAAAAUGGUCAAUGUACCAUUGUGAAAUGAAAUUUCAACUCCAAAAGUUUACCCUUCACUAACUGGAGUAAAAUGGAUGGUUACAAAGUCUUUAAUCAUAGUCAUUAGGAGUAGAGAAUUUGGAACCAGGCUGCAUAAGCAAGCCUUUGCAGGGCCAAUAUUAAAUGUCAUACUAAUGACAUUAGUGUUGAUACAAAAGAAGGAAAAAAUUUUCCCUUAGAUAAGAGUUCUGUGUUUUAACAGUGCCAGUUCAGGAUGGCUAUAAUGCUGCUCUGCCUUCUACAGCUUGCUGCACCACUCUGUAGUUACUCUGUAACAAUACAUUUCUAUCUUUUUUGGUUAAACACUCCCUGAAGAUACGUAGAUGAUAUCUAUACAUCCAUAUUAUACACAUUCAUAUGUAUGUAAGGAUUUCCCUUCAUUUUUGUUUUGUGGGCUGGGAAAAAUUUAGCGUAACAUAAUGACUUCAUGUUUCUUUGAUAUAAGAAUAAGUUCACUAUUUUUAUAAUGAACCCAAAUCUAAAGGCUUUUAUAUUUAUUUUAAAAGGGAAAGCUUUCUCAAAUGUUUUAUCUCUACACAUUUGUAUACGUGUGUGUGUGUAUAAGCCAGUUAGUAUGUAUAUGUAUAUUAUAUACAUAAAACACUAUAUUUUUACAUACAAGUAUGCUUUUAUUAUACAGAUAAUAAAGAUGGGGGAAGGUUUCUGUUUUUUUCUUAAUAGGUGAAGAAAUCUUGAAGACCAGAAAUUGGAUCUUAUUGAAUUUUGGUGUUUUUUAAAUUUUUUGUUUUUCCUUUUUCUUUUUAAAUUAUAUUGUUCGGCUAUGGAAGAUGGAUCUUAUCGUUCUUUUUUUUUUAUAUAACCCUUUGAAUCUCAAGUUCAUCUUUAAAUGAACUUUUUUUGUUUUUUUAUUUUUGUUUUUGAGGAGAUAACUAACUAGUUAUCUCCAGUCUGACAAAGGUUAUGCAAAUGGACUUAAUCUCCUAGUAGUUGGGAGAUGUUUUAAAAACACAUGCAGUGUUGACUUAUGGCUGAGAGAUUUCCUUGGCAAUGUGAGGAGGAAAAUUCUUUCUGCCUCAUUAUUAUUAAUUCAUGGAUUGAGUGUUGGUUCGACCUACAGGAGUAAUAGAUUGGAACUCAGUGAAGACACAGACGUUCCUGUUGAGAUCAACCAGCUAAUGAUUGCAUUUUAAAGACGAUUUCUGUGAUUGAGUUGUCUUUUGGAAGAUUAAACCCAUUUCAAGAGGACUGGAAGCUGGUCCUCAUCUUGAGGAAGGAGUGGCUCGUGUUCAAGAAGCCACUUCUAAUCUAAGGAUCUCCUCAGCA